GGGCCCGCACAAGCGGCGGAGCAUGCGGAUUAAUUCGAGGCAACGCGAAGAACCUUACCAAGGCUUGACAUACACCGGAAGCCGCCAGAGAUGGUGGUCUCUUUGAUACUGGUGUACAGGUGGUGCAUGGUUGUCGUCAGCUCGUGUCGUGAGAUGUUGGGUUAAGUCCCGCAACGAGCGCAACCCUUGUCCUAUGUUGCCAGCACGUUAUGGUGGGGACUCAUGGGAGACUGCCGGGGUUAACUCGGAGGAAGGUGGGGAUGACGUCAAAUCAUCAUGCCCCUUAUGUCUUGGGCUUCACGCAUGCUACAAUGGCCGGUACAGAGGGAAGCGAUAUCGUGAGGUGGAGCGGAUCCCUUAAAGCCGGUCUCAGUUCGGAUCGAAGUCUGCAACUCGACUUCGUGAAGGUGGAGUCGCUAGUAAUCGCAGAUCAGCAACGCUGCGGUGAAUACGUUCUCGGGCCUU
rnacentral:rRNA from 1 species